UACAGAGGAUGCAAGCGUUGUUCGGAAUCACUGGGCGUAAAGCGCACGUAGGCGGAUCUUUAAGUCAGGGGUGAAAUCCCGAGGCUCAACCUCGGAACUGCCUUUGAUACUGGGGAUCUCGAGUCCGGGAGAGGUGAGUGGAACUGCGAGUGUAGAGGUGAAAUUCGUAGAUAUUCGCAAGAACACCAGUGGCGAAGGCGGCUCACUGGCCCGAUACUGACGCUGAGGCACGAAAGCGUGGGGAGCAAACAGG
rnacentral:rRNA from 1 species